AGUAAAACACAAGAGUAAAUAGGGGAGAGCGGGGUAAGUUGUCACAUGGGUAAGUUGUCACACUGUUCAUAACUCCAACACUAGAGGCUCUAUCUCAAAAAUCAAAUAGCCACUUUAUGUGACUUCUUCUUCUAUAGUCAACUUCCUGUUCACAUGUGGUCAAGAUCACUCUAAUCUGAGGUUAGCACAAUUUUCUUAUUUUUCUGCUUAAAAAGUAAAAAAAUUGCACUUUACACUUUAUGCAAUAC